rnacentral:rRNA from 1 species
GAUGAACGCUGGCGGCGUGCUUAACACAUGCAAGUCGAACGGAAAGGCUCCUGCUUGCAGGGGUACUCGAGUGGCGAACGGGUGAGUAACACGUGGGGGAUCUGCCCUGCACUUCGGGAUAAGCCUGGGAAACUGGGUCUAAUACCGGAUAGGACCACAUUUUGGAUGGUGUGGUGGAAAGUUUUUCGGUGUGGGAUGAGCUCGCGGCCUAUCAGCUUGUUGGUGGGGUAAUGGCCUACCAAGGCGUCGACGGGUAGCCGGCCUGAGAGGGUGUACGGCCACAUUGGGACUGAGAUACGGCCCAGACGCCUACGGGAGGGAGCAGUGGGGAAUAUUGCACAAUGGGCGCAAGCCUGAUGCAGCGACGCCGCGUGGGGGAUGACGGCCUUCGGGUUGUAAACUCCUUUCGCUAGGGACGAAGCGCAAGUGACGGUACCUGGAGAAGAAGCACCGGCUAACUACGUG